rnacentral:rRNA from 1 species
UACGUAGGUGGCGAGCGUUGUCCGGAAUUAUUGGGCGUAAAGAGCUCGUAGGCGGCUUGUCACGUCGGGUGUGAAAGCCCGGGGCUUAACCCCGGGUCUGCAUUCGAUACGGGCUAGCUAGAGUGUGGUAGGGGAGAUCGGAAUUCCUGGUGUAGCGGUGAAAUGCGCAGAUAUCAGGAGGAACACCGGUGGCGAAGGCGGAUCUCUGGGCCAUUACUGACGCUGAGGAGCGAAAGCGUGGGGAGCGAACAGG